CACUACGGAUGCGAUAUACUUUCGGCCGCUAGCGCUCCCGUGGCGCUCUUCUGUGUUUUGGCACCCCGGGAAAUUUGAAUUCGCAGAGGAAGAAGAAGAAGAAAACACACAGCGGCGAUCGCCUCGGUUGUUUAAUUCAACGCAGUCUCAAGCGUGUAUUCAAGAGAGCACUGUUUCUACACUGCUUGUGCCCUUGCUAUCAUCUUUUCCUGGAACCCAAGCAGAUCCUCAGUCAGAUACAGGAACUACAUAUAUGCCACCGCCUUGCCUGCGACCCGUACUGGACCAGUGAAGACUGGUGGCAGGGUGUUUGUACUGGACCACAAACGUGGAGCCCAUUGACAACUUGCUUAAUAAACACCAUGGGAAGAAGGACAUCCUCAGGACUAUGCAGCAAUGGUCCACAAUUCCUCUACUGAUCCAAACAGCAUGCUCCAUUCGACCACAAAACUGCACAUUUCACAGUAUGACAAGCACCUGGCCAAACUGCUGAACACCAGUUCAUCAUUAAACAACUCCAGAGAAACGUCUUUAAAGCAGGUAGUAAAACAACCAGAGUGCCAGUGGUAACAAUGAAGCCUGUGAAUGUAAACCCACCAGCACCUGCUCUGACCACACUCCUAACUCAUGAGACAAUUGAGAGAAUAGUAUUAUGGAGCGGCAGCAGCAACAGCAAACUGAGCAGGAGAAGAAGAAACAAACAAAGACUUGUCUUGCUUGUGGACAGCCAAAGAUGGUUCCUCUAUCCACUUUUUUUUUAAUCAGGCCCUGUCAGGUACUUCUACUGUUCCACAGAGGUUUUUAAUGCUUACGGUGAUUAAGGACUAACAAAUCCCAGAAUGCCAUUCCAAGACUUUAUGGAAAUUGAGUUCUUUAAGAGUGAAUUUGAGGACACAAAGAAACUGGUGGAGGAGAGAGGACAGCAAAAACACAAAAGGCAUAAAACUGAACACGUUGGUUGCUUGUGCAGAUUGUGUAAAAUGGAAUUGAAGCAGGGUUCUAACAGUCCUCACAUACACAGGCUUUCCUGGCGUAGCCGGGAAAUAUGUUCAUUGCCCUGCUAAAGUCUUUUUCAUUUACUAACCUCAGGGCAUUCAGAAAGAGAUGACCUGGAAAGAUGGAAAGACAGAGAUGGGUGGCAGAAAAAAAGAAAUAAAUUAUAUUCUUUUGCCCCUUAGUAAUAUUUAACUCAUGUAUA